rnacentral:rRNA from 1 species
CAGUCGCCGCGGGAAUACGAAGGGUGCAAGCGUUAAUCGGAAUUACUGGGCGUAAAGCGUGCGUAGGUGGUGGUUUAAGUCCGUUGUGAAAGCCCUGGGCUCAACCUGGGAAUUGCAGUGGAUACUGGGUCACUAGAGUGUGGUAGAGGAUAGUGGAAUUUCCGGUGUAGCAGUGAAAUGCGUAGAGAUCGGAAGGAACAUCUGUGGCGAAGGCGACUAUCUGGGCCAACACUGACACUGAGGCACGGAAGCGUGGGGAGCAAACAGGAUUAGAUACCCCCGUAGUCCCUGUCUCUUAUAC